rnacentral:lncRNA from 1 species
CCAGCCAAGCCCACCAGCUCCAUUCCCUCUGCUUGUUCGGAAGGAAAGGAACAUCCAUGGUGCCUCAUUCCUCUCUCAUCUUCUGUCUUUGGUGGCAAACAAAACAAGACAGCCCAGCAGUAGCCAGGUACUUCUCGACCACCCCUGGAUCUGCAAGAGAGUUGGCCGAGGCCCAGUCCUGCUUUCUUUUUCUGGGCCUUAGUGAAUGGUUUCCUGAGACAUUUUGAGUCAUUGAACUUCCAUAAACACAUAGCCAUUUUCUCUGCACAAUUGUUGCUCUUUUGCUAAUUACAUAAUUAGCCACACUUGAGUGAAGGAGACCUGGUGAGCAUAAAAGAGCAAAGGAUAGAGGACGAGAUGGUUAAGCCAACUGAAGCUGGGAGAGAGCCAGAGUAAUUUUUUUUCCUCCUUGGAAUUGGCCCACAUCUUCUCAUUUUGGUCUCAGCAAAAUGAGCAAUGAGAUUUAUACCUGUGUUGAUUUAAAAUGUUAUUUUACUUUGGAUUUUACAUUAAAAAAAAAAAAGACCAGAAGCAAAGUGUCUAGAGAUACAUCCUCUAGAAGGGGUUGGGCUUAUGGGCAGUGUUGCAUGAACGAGCCACACUCUCUGCU